rnacentral:rRNA from 1 species
CCUACGGGUGGCUGCAGUGAGGAAUAUUGGUCAAUGGGCGGGAGCCUGAACCAGCCAAGCCGCGUGAGGGAAGAAGGUACAGCGUAUCGUAAACCUCUUUUGUCAGGGCACAAAGGCGGGGACUAGUCCCCGGAUGAGGGUACCUGAAGAAAAAGCAUCGGCUAACUCCGUGCCAGCAGCCGCGGUAAUACGGAGGAUGCGAUCGUUAUCCGGAUGUAUUGGGUGUAAAGGGUGCGCAGGCGGGCUGGUGAGGCAGCGGGGAAAGGCCGGGGGUCAACCCCGGGGGGGCGUUUAAACUGGGGGGGCUGGAGUGGGAGAGAGGCACGCGGAAUGCGGGGUGUAGCGGUGAAAUGCUUAGAUA